AUUGAACGCUGGCGGCAGGCCUAACACAUGCAAGUCGAGCGGUAGCACAGAGAGCUUGCUCUCGGGUGACGAGCGGCGGACGGGUGAGUAAUGUCUGGGAAACUGCCUGAUGGAGGGGGAUAACUACUGGAAACGGUGGCUAAUACCGCAUAACGUCGCAAGACCAAAGUGGGGGACCUUCGGGCCUCAUGCCAUCAGAUGUGCCCAGAUGGGAUUAGCUAGUAGGUGGGGUAAUGGCUCACCUAGGCGACGAUCCCUAGCUGGUCUGAGAGGAUGACCAGCCACACUGGAACUGAGACACGGUCCAGACUCCUACGGGAGGCAGCAGUGGGGAAUAUUGCACAAUGGGCGCAAGCCUGAUGCAGCCAUGCCGCGUGUGUGAAGAAGGCCUUCGGGUUGUAAAGCACUUUCAGCGGGGAGGAAGGCGAUAAGGUUAAUAACCUUGUCGAUUGACGUUACCCGCAGAAGAAGCACCGGCUAACUCCGUGCCAGCAGCCGCGGUAAUACGGAGGGUGCAAGCGUUAAUCGGAAUUACUGGGCGUAAAGCGCACGCAGGCGGUCUGUCAAGUCGGAUGUGAAAUCCCCGGGCUCAACCUGGGAACUGCAUUCGAAACUGGCAGGCUAGAGUCUUGUAGAGGGGGGUAGAAUUCCAGGUGUAGCGGUGAAAUGCGUAGAGAUCUGGAGGAAUACCGGUGGCGAAGGCGGCCCCCUGGACAAAGACUGACGCUCAGGUGCGAAAGCGUGGGGAGCAAACAGGAUUAGAUACCCUGGUAGUCCACGCCGUAAACGAUGUCGAUUUGGAGGUUGUGCCCUUGAGGCGUGGCUUCCGGAGCUAACGCGUUAAAUCGACCGCCUGGGGAGUACGGCCGCGAGGUUAAAACUCAAAUGAAUUGACGGGGGCCCGCACAAGCGGUGGAGCAUGUGGUUUAAUUCGAUGCAACGCGAAGAACCUUACCUGGUCUUGACAUCCACAGAACUUAGCAGAGAUGCUUUGGUGCCUUCGGGAACUGUGAGACAGGUGCUGCAUGGCUGUCGUCAGCUCGUGUUGUGAAAUGUUGGGUUAAGUCCCGCAACGAGCGCAACCCUUAUCCUUUGUUGCCAGCGGUUCGGCCGGGAACUCAAAGGAGACUGCCAGUGAUAAACUGGAGGAAGGUGGGGAUGACGUCAAGUCAUCAUGGCCCUUACGACCAGGGCUACACACGUGCUACAAUGGCAUAUACAAAGAGAAGCGACCUCGCGAGAGCAAGCGGACCUCAUAAAGUAUGUCGUAGUCCGGAUUGGAGUCUGCAACUCGACUCCAUGAAGUCGGAAUCGCUAGUAAUCGUAGAUCAGAAUGCUACGGUGAAUACGUUCCCGGGCCUUGUACACACCGCCCGUCACACCAUGGGAGUGGGUUGCAAAAGAAGUAGGUAGCUUAACCUUCGGGAGGGCGCUUACCACUUUGUGAUUCAUGACUGGGGUG
rnacentral:rRNA from 1 species